rnacentral:pre_miRNA from 1 species
CCCUGGCUCUAGCAGCACAGAAAUAUUGGCACUGGGAAGAGUCUGCCAAUAUUGGCUGAGCUGCUCCAGGCAGGG